CGCAGGGUGGAGCAGUCUGGUAGCUCGUCGGGCUCAUAACCCGAAGGUCAUAGGUUCAAAUCCUGUCCCUGCAACCA
rnacentral:tRNA from 1 species